CUGAAAUUAUAAAAUACUUUCUCAUUCUCUCUUUUAGUAUUUUUAGAGUAACUUUAAAUCUUCAAUUUAUCUGGAAUUUAUUUUUAGUAUACAGUAUGAGGUAUGCCUUAACGUAAUUUUUUUUCCAGAUGGAUAUCCUGAUUUCUUUGCAACAGUUAUUGAAUAAGCCAUCUUUCUCUGAUGAUUUGAGAGGAGACCUCUCUCCAUAUUAAAUUCUCAUGUAUAUUUGAUUGUAUUUUUUUAUUUGAUUGUAUCUUUAAUAGAUUUUCUUCUGGUCACUGAUUUCUGUUUUAGUUAUUAUAACUUUAAAAUGUUUUAAUAUCUGGUAAUACUUUAAAUUUAUUUUUAGAAUAUGUAUUGCUAUUCUUAUUUGUUUUAUUUGUAGGAAUUUGAAAUCAGUUUACCUAUUUCCAAAAGAAAAUUCUGUUAGUAUUUUUAUUAGGUGAGCUUUAUUUAUUUACUUAUUUUUUUUUAUAAUAUUAGUGGGUUUUGUUCUCCAUUUUUUUUUUUUAAGAUUUUUGUUUGUUUCUUUGACAGAGAGAUAGAGAAUGCAAGUGGGCAGAAUAGCAGGCAGAGGAAGAAGGAGAAGCAGACUCCCCGCUGAACAGGGAGCCUGACAGGGGGCUUGAUCCCAGGACACGAAGGCAGCUGCUUAACUGACUGAGCCACCCAGGCACCCCUGUUUAUUUAUUUAUUCUUUAAGUAAUCUUUAGGCCCAAUAUGGGGCUCAAACUCAGGACUCUGAGAUCAAGAGUCACAUGUCCUACCCACUGAGCCAGCCAAACACACCAGAGUGCAGUGGAGUUUUCCAGAGCCUACAUGUCCUGUGGUAUUGCAACAAAAUGAACGCAGAAGUAGACAUAAAAAUCCAGCUGUUUUCUAUUAACCCAGGCAUUAAAG
rnacentral:lncRNA from 1 species